AUUUUUAAAGAUAUGUAGGUGGGCAGAGGUGGUAAAGACUCUUGAUGGGAUUUUCAGAAUCACAUUAGCGUCUAAUUCCUAUUCAAAAUCUGACUCCAUAGCUUGUCUGAACUGGAUUCAGCCCGUGCUAUGUUUUAUUCAGCUGCUCCGUAGGACAGAACGGGAGGUGUGCAUACGGCGAGCGUGACUUAGGGGGAAUAAAUCGAGGUGUGCCUUGGCCCCUGCUGAGCUGUGCAGCUGAGCUCCCUUUUAUCCUUUCUCUAAUUCCAUAAUUUCCACCCUCCUUUCUGCAGAAUGCCAGAGAUUCAACGGAGGAGAGGAAAAGUGACUCCGUUUUGCCCAACCUAACAGUGAUAUAUUUGGUUUUACUAAGCCUGUGUCUGCAGAGAUGCCAGAUAAAACACCAGGUGCUACAGAGCCUGUGCCCAGAAGUGAAGUUUCCUGCUGUAAUACGUUGUUGCUCUGGAUGAAGC
rnacentral:lncRNA from 12 species